rnacentral:rRNA from 1 species
UACGUAGGGUGCGAGCGUUUAAUCGGAAUUACUGGGCGUAAAGCGUGCGCAGGCGGUUUUGUAAGACAGAUGUGAAAUCCCCGGGCUCAACCUGGGAACUGCGUUUGUGACUGCAAGACUUGAGUGCGGCAGAGGGAGGUGGAAUUCCACGUGUAGCAGUGAAAUGCGUAGAGAUGUGGAGGAACACCGAUGGCGAAGGCAGCCUCCUGGGCCAGCACUGACGCUCAGGCACGAAAGCGUGGGGAGCAAACAGG